GACUUUGAAUUUUCGGCCAGCUAAUCCACAAUUGGAUUGAUGGUGUGUUUUGGUAUUCUGCUAAAAAAAAUUGAAGAAUACUUCAGUUUAAUGUAAAAAUUUACUAUUAUAACUGAACAUAGAAACAACCAUCAAUUCAUAUAUGAAAGCAUAUGUAUAUAUAUAUAUAUAUAUAUAUAUAUAUAUAUAUAUAUAUAUAUGAGUACAGGACACCACAAAUAAACGUAGAACACAACGAGAAACGAAAACAUAAAAUCAAACAAGGUAAUGGACUUUUUUUAACAACGAAAAAACAGAGUACAAGACAAAUACAAGGAAUAUUCCCCUUCAUCAGCUGCCCCUGUUUCGACUCAAUGCGUGUUUCGAAGGUAAUAUAUAUAUAUACAUAUAUAUACAUACACACACACAAACACACACACACACACACACACACACACACACACACACACACACAUAUAUAUAUAUAUAUAUAUAUAUAUAUAUAUAUAUGUUUAGGACAUAAAUGCGAAACAAGGUGGGAAAAUAGUACACGAAUACCGGACAGUUUUGUUUAGAAUAUAGAUACAUACAUUCAUACAUACAUACAUACACACACACAUACAUACAUGCAUGCAUGCAUACAUACAUACAUACAUACACACACACAUACAUACAUUCAUACAUACAUAUAUAUAUGUAUAUACAUACAUUCAUUCAUGCAUACAUACAUACAUACAUACAUACGUACGUACAUAUAUGUACAUACAUACAUACAUACAUACAUACAUACAUACAUACAUACAUACAUACAUACAUACAUACAUACAUACAUACAUACAUACGUACGUACAUAUAUGUAUAUACAUACAUACAUAUAUACCGUAUUUGAUGGCCUAUAAGACGCACGAGUGCAUAGAACGCACCCUAGUCAAUAAUUCUUUUAAAAUAUAUUACCGCUAAAAUAACGUUUCAAUUCCACCACUUACCUGUGUAACUUUAUAUUAUUACCAGUAAUUAUAAGCAAUUUAUUUCAUUCCCAUUCGAUAUAAACUUACCGUAGGUGAUUGUUCAUCAACAGAUGGCAGCACACGUCGCGAGUCUUGAGCUUAUAUUGAGGGUAUUAGGCGCAGGUGAGAUUUUAAAGCCAUUUUCGUGAAAAAAUCAGGCCCGUCUUAUAGGCCAUCAAAUACGGUAUGUAUAUGUAUAUGUGUAUGUAUGUGUAUAUGUGUAUGUAUGUAUGUAUGUAUUUUAAAGACAUCUGCAUCCACCCCAUGCAGGUUUCCCAGGUCCGUCGGGAGGAUAUUGAAGAGCUGUGGAACUCUGAAGCCCAGGCUAUCACGGUAUCUUGUCCUACAUCUUGAUGGCAAAUUUGGAGUCCUUGGCACUAUGCAGUGGCGCCCAGUUCUAGUAUUUGUGUAACUCUCGAUGUAUCUAUGUUUGUAUGUAUGUAUGUAUGUAUGUAUGUAUGUAUGUAUGUAUGUAUGUAUGUAUGUAUGUAUGUAUGUAUGUAUGUAUGCAUGUAUGUAUGUAUACUGAUACACACACAAUAACAUUUUGCUUACAGUUAUGAACACAACUAUGCAUACCUACUAAUAUGGCUGCAUGCUUUCAUGCAUGUAUUACUCCAGCCAUCCAUCCAUCCAUUCAUCCAUACCUACAUACAUACGUACAUAUAUACAUACAUACAUACAUACAUACAUACAUAAAUACAUACAUACAUACAUACAUACAUAAAUACAUACAUACAUAAAUACAUACAUACAUACAUACAUACAUACAUACAUACAUACAUACAUACAUACAUACAUACAUACAUUAUGGCUGCCCCCUCGUAAUCGAGUAUGGCCAUUGCACGAAGCUUAUCUAUUACUUGUGCUCUAAUCGAAUGUGACUUUUUAGCCCAGCUAAAGAUCUACAAUGUCUUGUACAGAAUUGGCAACUAAAACCUUUACCGGUAAUAGCCGGCUGUAGUUGUAACUAGGCUUCAUGUACCUUCGCAUGUCGUUUAACUCCUCCUGCCGAAUUACACUCUCUUCCACAUGCCCGACUGAUAUGAUUAGUAUGGUAUGUUACACCACCACCAGUGGCCAGGUUGUCACUCAUCUGUCCCGCUUUAUGACUACAAAGAUGACUCUUGAGUACAUACAUACAUACAUACAUACAUACAUACAUACAUACAUACAUACAUACAUACAUACAUACAUACAUACAUACAUACAUACAUACAUACAUACAUACAUACAUACAUACAUACAUACAUACAUACAUACAUACAUACAUACAUACAUACAUACAUACAUACAUACAUACAUACAUACAUACAUACAUACAUACAUACAUACAUACAUACAUACAUACAUACAUACAUACAUACAUACAUACAUACAUACAUACAUACAUACAUACAUACAUACAUACAUACAUACAUACAUACAUACAUACAUACAUACAUACAUACAUACAUACAUACAUACAUACAUACAUACAUACAUACAUACAUACAUACAUACAUACAUACAUACAUACAUACAUACAUACAUACAUACAUACAUACAUACAUACAUACAUACAUACAUACAUACAUACAUACAUACAUACAUACAUACAUACAUACAUACAUACAUAGAUAGAUAGAAAUAUACGCAAGUGUACCUAUGUACAUGCUUAGCACAUGAUGGAGUCGCAGAAACGCUGUUACGACUCACGAUGUUUCGUGAGUAUUUUACACCUGGCAAGGCUCAUCCCUCUUUAGGUCAUUAUAACACGCUCGAUUUCUUCCACAGAAGAAGAGAGAGAGAAAAUAGACUCCGGCUGUAGACUGGUGAUAGUAAAGAUGAUGUUAACAUUCCUCUGCGAGAUGUGAACUCGGGGCGGACGAGGCGUACACACACGUAUAUAUUUACGUACUCACGUACACACAUGCGUAUCUUUACGCAUGUACCUACCUAUCUACUUACUUACCUUCCUACCUACCUAUUUCUUUACUACCCACAAGGAGCUAAACACAGGGAGGACAAACAAGGACAGACACACGGAUUAAGUCGAUAAUAUCGACCCCAGUGCGUAACUGGUACUUAAUUUAUCGAUCCCGAAAAGAUGAAAGGCAAAGUCGUCCUCGGCGGAAUUUCAACUCAGAACACAAAGACAGGGGAAAUACCUAUUUCUUUACUACCCACAAGGGGCUAAACACAGAGAGGACAAACAAGGACAGACAUACGGAUUAAGUCGAUUACAUCGACCCUAGUGCGUAACUGGUACUUAAUUUAUCGACCCCGAAAGGAUGAAAGGCAAAGUCGACCUCGGCGGAAUUUGAACUCAGAACGUAGCGGCAGACGAAAUACCGCUAAGCUUUUCGCCCGGUGUGCUAACGUUUCUGCCAGCUCGCCGCCUUCCUACCUACCUACCUACCUACCUACAUAUAACUCAGACCUGACACAUACAUGCACAGAUGUUCGUGCGAGUGCUUACAUAGGAGUUUACGUAUGAAAACUCGUGUAUAUAAGUGAGCAGUUUAUACAUACAUACAUACAUACAUAUAUAUAUAUAUAUAUAUAUAUAUAUAUAUAUAUAUAUAUAUAUAUAUAUAUAUAUGUAUGUAUGUAUGUAUGUAUGUAUAAUUCCCACUGUUCAGUAAGUUAAACAAUGAAACAAUGCUUUUUUACUCUGAGCUUAAAAGAAUUAUUGCAAUCUGUCAAGCUAUUGUUUGUAUUCGUGCAGUUUGCAUUUUACAUUUCACAGCUGUUGCGCUUUCUGUUCUAUCAUGUUUUGCGAGCUGUCGUGUGCUUUGUUUGUGUUGGUGUAAAUGUGUGUGUGUGUGUGUGUGUGUGUGUGUGUGUGUGUGUGUGUGUGUGUGUGUGUGUGUGUGUGCGUGUGUGUGUAAGGGGAAAACAGUUGGUGAUUCACUUAGUUUCUGCUCUCAGAGUUACAUAAAUUAUAGUCGUAAUCCUUCAGACCAUAACCACAUAAUACGCUUGCGCAUAUUCACACAUGCAUACAUACAGACGUACAUCAAUACAUACACAUAUACAUGCAUACAUACAUACAUACAUACAUACAAACAUACACGCAAGCACAUACAAACAUAUAUACAUGCAUGCGUACGUACAUACGUGCAUAUAUUAACACAUUUACAUAUAUACAUACAUUCACACAUAUACAUGCAAUGCAUGCAUACAUACAUGCAUAUAUACAUAUAUACAUAGAUACAUACAUACAUACAUACAUACAUGCAUACACGCAAGCACAUACAAACAUAUAUACAUGCAUGCGUACGUACAUACGGGCAUAUAUUAACACAUUUACCUAUAUACAUACAUUCACACAUAUACAUGCAUGCAUUCAUACAUGCAUAUAUACAUAUAUACAUAGAUACAUACAUACAUACAUACAUACAUACAUUCAUGCAUACAUACAUACAUACAUGCAUGCAUACAUACAUACGUACAUGCAUACAUACAUACAUACAUACAUACAUACAUACAUACAUACAUACAUACAUACAUACAUACAUACAUACAUACAUACAUACAUGCAUACAUCCUUGUACUGUCAUCUGUCCUUACUUGCGUACGUACAUAUGUAAGCACGUAUGAACAUACUUAUAUAUUAGUCAUACGAUAUAGUGUAUAUUUAAACACAUAAGGAAUCCACUUAUAGGGGUUCUACAUGCUAGAAACAACAGCUAGGUUCUAUAACCACAAAAAUUAGGGAUAAAAUUUGACAGGAAUAAAUUUUGAAAUGAAAAACAUUUACUAUCCAGUUUCCUGUUUCUCAUUUCUAAAUUUAUUCCUGUCAAAUUUUAUCCCUAAUUUUUGUGGUUAUAGAAUCUAGCUGUUGUUUCUAGCAUGUAGAAUCCCUAUAAGUGAAUUCCUUAUGUGUUUAAAUAUACACUAUAUCGUAUGACUGAUGUAUGGUCUUUUUGACUAGAUUUUUUUGCACGUUGGACCAUUGGAAGUGUAAAUUUUAAUUAAUUUCCAUUUCCCUUUGAUAUGAUUAAAUACUAUAUAUGCAUAUAUAUACAUGUUCAAAUAUAAGUAAGCAUAUAUAUGUAUAUGUAUACAUGUAUAAGUACAUCCAUACAUAGGUCUCAGGCAUGAACGGUAUUACAUACAUGUAUCUUAUAACAUGCUAAAGUUCACGUUCUACAUAUUUAAACAAUAUCCUUGGCAACUUGUUGCUCUAAUCUUCCGAUUAGACGUGUUUUUUUUUCUGGUUUUGUAACUCCUGUCUUCUCAAGAUUGAUACUGAAACAAUUGGCUACGUAACCAAAUACACCAGUAAUUGUUGGGAGAAACCUAAUGCUAUAGUCUGGAUGCAGCAACUACAGGUUUCUAAUCAGUUUGCUAUAGAUGUUUUCUUUUCACUAAUCUUUCACAAUACGCUGAUACCAGCGGGCAAGUAAUUUCAGCUAUAGUGUACAAUUUCAUUUCUUCGUCCCACAUCAUUAUGAUUGGACGAUUGUGCUUGCAUUUUACUGAAGUUUCGAAGGUGUCAUUAAACCUGUAUGCUUUUCAAUUUGUGUCUGGAUGUGCGAUUCAUAUGAAUGUAGUUGUUUAUAUUUCUCUCGUUAGAAUUAUCCUUUCUAUGGAUUUCGUCAAAUAACGUUCUAGUCAUGACACAGUGUCUAAUUGAAGCAAUAUCAUGAGGGUGGAGGCACAUGGCCUAGUGGUUAGAGUAGCGGACUCGCGGUCGAGGGAUCGCGGGUUCGAAUCUCAGACCAGGUGACGUGUGUGUGUUUAUGAGCGAAACACCUAAGCUCCACGCAGCUCCGGCAGAAGGUAAUGGCGAAACUUCUGCUGAUUCUUUCGCCACAACUUUCUCUCACUCUUUCCCCCUGCAUCUUGCAGCUCACCUGCGACGGACCGGAGUCCCGUCCAGGUGGGGAACGCCAAGAAACCGGGAAACCGGCCCUUAUGAGCCAGGUAUGGCUCGAGAAGGAACAAACAACAAAGAAUGUCUUAUUGAAGCAAUAUCAUGAGGAUAUUUUCGGGAUGCUACUUACGGUGUGACAUUCUCAGUAUUAAUUUCACAGAGCCUGCGUCGGUUGUCGCAUCUAUGUGAUUUACCUGAAUCUCUGUUUAUUUCCUCGUGUUCCUUUCUGUCUGUUGAAGAGUGUAGGCUCGAAACGUGAAAGACUUACUCAUUUUCCCGAGUGUCAAACUAAUAUACCUGCUUGUUGUUUAUACACCUGUCUUCGUCUUGUGCAUCAGGUAUUUUGCCAAUAUCCUAGUCGUUAGUUCCGAACAGACUAUCCCGUUUGUCAUUGUUGCAGUCAUUUUGGAGCCUUCUGGGAAUAUAGAUAUGCUUCAUAUUUGCUAUUAUUUAUGCUGCUUUACUUCUGAUAAGUUGUAGCAGUAGAAAUGUGCAACUAAGUUUAGUGUAGAAUCAGUCAGGGAAUACUUUCUGAGAGGCUCUUUUCCAAUUCUCGUAAUGUUAUCGGCUUCAUGCUAGCAAACUUGAUCCAUUUGCAUGACUUCAAUAGUUAUCAGUUAGAAGGCGACGAGCUAGCAGAAUCGUUAGCACAACGACCAAAAUGCUUAGCGGCAUUUUGUCCAUCCUUACGUUCUGAGUUCAUAUUCCGCCGAGGUCAACUUUGCUUUUCAUCCUUUCGGGGUCGAUAAAAUAAGUAUCAGUUCAGCACGGUCGAUAUAACCGACCCAUUUCUUUCUCCGAACUUGCUGGCUAUGUGCUAAAAUUUGGAACCAAUAUUUGAUAGUUAGUAAAUGUUGUCGAAAGGAUAUAAAGCAAUAUUCAAAGGUUGUUUGGAUCUAUGUUAAGCUUUGCAAAUAGUUUUGUUGUAUGUAUAGGCGAUCUAAAUACAACGUUGUUGAUGUGGAAAUGUCGAGUAGGAGCUAACAAUUUGAGGGUUUUAUCAUCAAUAGACCGGGCCUCAUCUAGCGUCCACUCGAAAUGUUCAAGUGUUCGUAUGAACACAAGUACGGGAAAUAUAUCGUAUGCUGUUGAUUUACUGCAUGUGAAAAAUUCUGAGGGCGAUAUUUUCUUUAUCUUUGUGUCAUAUCAUUUGGUUUGAUGCUCCUUACCACAAGUUAUCUCGUAGAAAAUAUUUUCAUAUAUUCCUAAAUAUCUGUAGCAUUCUUCAUCAUUGAUAGUAAUGUUAGUAGAUAACAAUGUAAAUCUUGCUUGUUUUACAAUCAUAUAAAAAUAUUUAUCCUGGCCAAACUCCAUCCCAAUAUUAUACCUUCAUUCAGUAUAUAUCCUUGGCAUAUAUUUUCAGAUCGGCCACCAAGAAGUGAUGUCUUCGGUUGGUGUUUCGUUCUUCGUGAGAGCUAACUGCUUAUCUUUCAGGUUUCUUUUACAGAAAUGUCAGAGGGCUUACUGAGAGUAUAAACAGUAUCAUAGAAGGAUUUUUCUUUGAAAUAUAUUCUGCAAUAACAAUAAAAUCACUUCCUGUAUUUUACUUCAAAAUGGUGAACAAGGAUGAAGUCAGGUUGUCUAUGACUUUGAUAACGAUACAUGGAAAUUUAGUAAGUCGAAGGGAUUUUAACAUUCACGAAUGAGGAG
rnacentral:lncRNA from 1 species